AUUGAACGCUGGCGGAAUGCUUUACACAUGCAAGUCGAACGGUAGAGGGGGCAACCCCUCGAGAGUGGCGAACGGGUGAGUAAUAUAUCGGAACGUGCCCAGUCGUGGGGGAUAACGUAGCGAAAGUUACGCUAAUACCGCAUACGAUCUAAGGAUGAAAGCGGGGGAUCGCAAGACCUCGCGCGAUUGGAGCGGCCGAUAUCAGAUUAGGUAGUUGGUGGGGUAAAGGCUCACCAAGCCAACGAUCUGUAGCUGGUCUGAGAGGACGACCAGCAACACUGGAACUGAGACACGAUCCAGCCUCCUACGGGAGACAUCAGUGGGGAAUUUUGGACAGUGGACGCAAGUCUGAUCCAGCCAUUCCGCGUGCAGGAUGAGGGCCCUCGGGUUGUAAGCUGCUUUUGUACGGAACGAAAAGGUCUCUCUUAAUACGGGGGGCUCAUGACGGUACCGUAAGAAUAAGCACCGGCUAACUACGUGCCAGCCGCCGCCGUAA
rnacentral:rRNA from 1 species